UUAAGCUAUAAAGAGCGCAGGGUGGAUGCCUUGGCACUAAGAGCCGAUGAAAGACGUGAUAAGCUGCGAAAAGCUUCGGGGAGGAGCAAAUAUCCUUUGAUCCGGAGAUAUCUGAAUGGGGAAACCCGGCUGAGAAGACCUCAGUCACUGUAUGGUAAAUACAUAGCCAUACAGAGGGAACCCGGUGAACUGAAACAUCUAAGUAGCCGGAGGAAGAGAAAGAAACAUCGAUUCCGAAAGUAGCGGCGAGCGAAAUUGGAAGAGCCCAAACCGGAAUGCGUGCAUUCCGGGGUUAUGGACCACGUUAUGUGACCCGUAUGGUAAUGGAACAGUCUGGGAAGUCAGACCAGAGAGGGUGAAAGUCCCGUACAUGAAACCAGAAGGGAGCUAGUGGGAUCCAGAGUACUGCGAGACACGUGGAACCUUGCAGGAAGUCGGGGGGACCACCCCCCAAGGCUAAAUACUCCUUAGUGACCGAUAGCGCAUAGUACUGUGAAGGAAAGGUGAAAAGGACCCCGGGAGGGGAGUGAAAGAGAACCUGAAACCCUGUGUCUACAAGCUGUGGGAGCACUUUAUAUGUGCGACCGCGUACUUUUUGUAGAACGGUCCGGCGAGUUACGCUUACUGGCAAGGUUAAGCACUUCAGGUGCGGAGCCGUAGGGAAACCAAGUCUUAAGAGGGCCAGAGUCAGUAGGAGUAGACCCGAAACCGGGUGAUCUAUCCAUGUCCAGGUUGAAGCUGCCGUAAGAGGUAGUGGAGGACCGAACCCACAUCCGUUGAAAAGGGUGGGGAUGAGGUGUGGAUAGGGGAGAAAUUCCAAUCGAACCCGGAGAUAGCUGGUUCUCCUCGAAAUAGCUUUAGGGCUAGCCUCGUUUUAGUCUUAUGGAGGUAGAGCACUGAAUUUCCGCGGGGGCGUCAAAGCUUACCAAAGAAUAUCAAACUCCGAAUGCCAUGUAGAUGAUGAACGGGAGUCAGACUGCACGAGAUAAGUUGGGCGGUCAAAAGGGAAAGAGCCCAGACCACCGGCUAAGGUCCCAAAGUGUGUGUUAAGUGGAAAAGGAUGUGGGAAUUCGAAGACAACUAGGAUGUUGGCUCAGAAGCAGCCAUACAUUCAAAGAGUGCGUAACAGCUCACUAGUCGAGAGUCCCUGCGCCGAAAAUGUCCGGGGCUGAAACACAACACCGAAGCCGUGGACUCCGUAAGGAGUGGUAGAGGAGCAUUCUUAAAACCGACGAAGCUGUACCGGUAAGGAGCAGUGGAGGGAUAAGAAGAGAGAAUGCCGGAAUGAGUAGCGAGAGGAAGGUGGGAAUCCUUCCGGCCGAAUAUCUAAGGUUUCCAGGGUAAAGCUGAUCUGCUCUGGGUAAGUCGGGGCCUAAGGAGAGGUCGCAAGACGUAUCCGAUGGACAACAGGUUUAGAUUCCUGUACCGCAUAUAAACAGAACUGUGGGGACGCAUGUGGAAAGCAUAAGCCGGGAAUGGAAAGACCGGUACAAGCGGGGUAGGUGUGUGACAGGCAAAUCCGUCGCAUAAGCCGAAGACGUGAUGUGGAGCGAAAUUAAGUAGUGAAGUAUGUGAGCCAUGUGCCGAGAAAAGCCGCUAUUGUUUUAUAUGUGCCCGUACCGUAAACCGACACAGGUGGAUGAGGAGAGAAUCCUAAGGCCGACGGAAGAAGCAUUGUUAAGGAACUCGGCAAAAUGACCCCGUAACUUCGGGAGAAGGGGUGCCCUGUGAAAGCAGGGCCGCAGUGAAAUGGCUCAAGCAACUGUUUAGCAAAAACACAGGUCUAUGCAAAACCGAAAGGUGAAGUAUAUGGGCUGACGCCUGCCCGGUGCUGGAAGGUUAAGAGGAGAGGUUAGCGCAAGCGAAGCUUUGAAUUUAAGCCCCAGUAAACGGCGGCCGUAACUAUAACGGUCCUAAGGUAGCGAAAUUCCUUGUCGGGUAAGUUCCGACCC
rnacentral:rRNA from 1 species